CUCAAAUCCCAAGCAUUUGUUAGGUAAUGAGAAGAAGAGCCACUUUUUCUGUUACUUCUUCUUUUUCGCCCAAUCUUCACCGUUUUCUUUAUUUUCCAACCACACAGAUUCGAAUAAUAACAAAGAAUCUUUGAAUAUUCCAUUGCAUCCAUGGCGUGGCUCAGGUAUCUGAAGAAACUUUCACCCACUAAACCACUACUCAGAUCCACAAAUCCACACCCAUUUCUUCCCUUCCCCUUCCUCCUCUCUCAUUUUACCUCUCUCCCCAUCUCCGAUGCGGCGGCGGUUUCACGGCCGCCGGCACUUGGACCGACGGAGACCGGCGAGAAGCCGAGGGUGGUGGUUUUGGGUUCCGGCUGGGCAGGUUGCAGAGUCAUGAAGGGCUUGGACACAAGCAUAUACGACGUCGUUUGUGUUUCGCCUCGUAACCACAUGGUCUUCACUCCUCUUCUCGCUUCAACUUGCGUUGGAACUCUGGAAUUCAGAUCCGUCGCUGAACCUAUCGCCCGGAUCCAGCCCGCCAUUUCUCGCGAACCUGGUUCUUAUUUCUUCCUCGCUAAUUGUACUGCCGUCAACACUGAUGAACAUUCGGUGCAAUGUGAAACGGUUACUGAUGGGUUGAACACUUUGGAACCGUGGAGGUUUAAAUUAUCAUAUGAUAAGUUGAUCAUAGCGUUGGGAUCCCAGCCGUUAACUUUUGGGAUUCAUGGGGUCAAAGAACACGCUAUUUUUCUUCGUGAGGUUUAUCAUGCUCAGGAAAUUCGUAGGAAGUUGCUUUUGAACUUGAUGUUAUCUGAUGUUCCAGGCAUCUCAGAGGAAGAGAAACGUCGGCUUCUACACUGUGUUGUUGUUGGAGGAGGACCAACAGGAGUUGAGUUCAGUGGGGAGCUUAGUGAUUUUAUCAUGAAAGAUGUUACUCAAAGAUAUGCUCAUGUGAAAGAUUAUAUCCAAGUUACUUUGAUUGAGGCAAAUGAGAUAUUGUCUUCCUUUGAUGAUAGACUCCGGCAUUAUGCUACUAAGCAAUUGACAAAGUCAGGAGUUCAACUUGUACGCGGCAUUGUCAAAGAUGUUAAACCUCAGAGCAUCAUUCUCAAUGAUGGUUCUGAGGUUCCUUAUGGGUUACUAGUUUGGUCUACUGGUGUUGGGCCCUCACCUUUUGUAAAUUCCUUGGAAGUUCCAAAGUCUCCUGGUGGCAGGAUUGGAAUAGAUGAGUGGUUACGUAUUCCUUCUGUGGAAGAUGUGUUUGCAAUAGGUGAUUGCAGUGGGUUCCUAGAGAGUACAGGGAAACAAGUUCUUCCAGCUUUGGCCCAGGUAGCAGAGCGCCAAGGCAAAUAUUUAGCAGCCUUGCUGAAUAAAAUUGGUAAAGAAGGUGGAGCACGAGCAGGUAGCGGAAAAGACUUGGAACUUGGAGCGCCUUUUGUCUACAAGCAUCUCGGAAGUAUGGCAACAAUUGGAAGAUACAAGGCUCUUGUCGACCUUAGGCAGAGUAAAGAAGCAAAGGGGUUAUCCAUGGCAGGGUUCCUCAGUUGGUUCGUUUGGCGUUCGGCUUAUCUAACACGUGUCAUAAGCUGGAGGAACAGAUUGUACGUGGCAGUGAACUGGGCUACAACUUUCAUCUUCGGUCGUGAUAUAAGCCGAAUAUAGAAUUAGAAGUAAGAACUCAACGUCCCGCUUCCACGUACCGAAAGUACAAAAAAGAAAAAAGAAAAAAAAAAAAGAAAAAAAAAAAAAAAGAAAAGAAAAGAAAAGAAAAAGUUUUCUAGUUGGGCCUCAUUGAUCAUCAUAUCAUGUGCAGUACUACCACUGCUACAGAAGUAAGUUGUUCAUCAAGAGAAACCCUCUUGCUGACUAUUCUCUCUGUGUGAAUCUGAAGUAAAAUUAUCAGAUCCUUGUGGUUCAUAUGAAAAUCUGAUUCAUGGCUGCUCAAGUGCAAUUUCUCAUCAGAAGCUCACUGUACAGUUUAUUUCCAUCAACUUAUUGUGUUAAAUCCAAAGCAUUAUUGCAUGUUCAUAGAAAUCCAAAUGAAGCCAAUCAUAAGAAUUAACUUAAAAAGCAAAUGAAUUAUUCACAUCUCUACCGGAGUCAUCAAUGUGGAAAAACAUACUGGAUUCACUGCCAUACUCUUCUUCAACCAACAAGUUGACUACAAAUGAUUUCCUUCAUCUCUUUCGCCCUGGAAAACCGUCCUGCCUGCCGUUUACAGAACACCUGAACAAUAGAAAACAAGAGGAAAUGAUAUCUGAUUCUUUAGAAUUAUUUCUAAAAAUGUACUUAUAGCCAAGGAUUAAAACUUCGUACCAAAUUAUCAUUGAAGAAAAGUUGAAAGUCCUCAGUGUUCUGGAGGUAGUUUAUGGUUAUGCAGCCCAGAAGCCAAGGGAUCGCGAUGACAUAAAACUUGUGUGCAGUCAAACAGUAGAAUCAAGAAGGUAUUGGCCUUUUCAGUUCGAGUAAAAUAUGUUUACCAGCCAUCACCAUCAUUAUGAUCAAAGCUUGUGCAGUUGAUAUGAGUUUUGAAGCAAUGUACUUCGGGGAUCUGGAGGAUGAUGUGAAAAAGUAACGUCGAUUCCAGGAAAAUUCUGUAUCACCAGCAACUUAAUCGAUAUAACAGUCCCUCUGCAAAAACAUGCAACAGUGCAAUGAGUUUUCAGAUCCCAAGGAGGGCAAAAAAAAAAAAAAAAAAAAAAAAAAAAAAAAAAGACAUACUGGUUCGUGUAAUUGAAGUUUGUUGGAGUUUUGCUCAUCCCAAGUGGGUGUACUUUUUUUUCUUUGAUGGGUGUCUUCUAUUCUCCGGCGUCAGCUCAAUUACAAUCGAGCGAAGUUCACUUUGGCAGCUCGUUGUAAACUUUAAUAAUAUCAAAUACGUCCUUGACUAAA